rnacentral:rRNA from 1 species
AACGAACGCUGGCGGCAGGCUUAACACAUGCAAGUCGAACGCGUGUAGCAAUACACGAGUGACGCACGGGUGAGUAACGCGUGGAUAUCUGCCUUUUGGUUCGGAAUAACCCCGGGAAACUGGGGCUAAUACCGGAUGGUUCCUACGGGAUAAAGAUUUAUCGCCAAAAGAUGAGUCCGCGUACGAUUAGCUAGUUGGUGAGGUAAUGGCUCACCAAGGCGACGAUCGUUAGCUGGUCUGAGAGGACGAUCAGCCACACUGGGACUGAGACACGGCCCAGACUCCUACGGGAGGCAGCAGUGGGGAAUAUUGGACAAUGGGGGCAACCCUGAUCCAGCCAUGCCGCGUGAGUGAUGAAGGCCUUCGGGUUGUAAAGCUCUUUUGGCGGGGACGAUGAUGACGGUACCCGCAGAAUAAGCCCCGGCUAACUUCGUGCCAGCCGCCGCGGUAACAC